UAGGGAAUCUUCGGCAAUGGACGAAAGUCUGACCGAGCAACGCCGCGUGAUUGAAGAAGGUUUUCGGAUCGUAAAACUCUGUUGUUAGAGAAGAACAAGGACGUUAGUAACUGAACGUCCCCUGACGGUAUCUAACCAGAAAGCCACGGCUAACUACGUGCCAGCAGCCGCGGUAAUACGUAGGUGGCAAGCGCUUUCCGGAUUCAUUGGGCGUAAAGCGAGCGCAGGCGGUUUCUUAAGUCUGAUGUCAAAGCUCCCGGCUCAACCGGAGAGGGUCAUUGGAUACUGGGAGACUUGAGUGCGGAAGAGGGGAGUGGAAUUCCAUGUGUAGCGGUGAAAUGCGUAGAUAUAUGGGGGAAGGCCAAUGGCGGGGGCGGCUCUCUGGUCUGUAACUGACGCUCAGGUGCGAAAGCGUGGGGAGCAAACAGG
rnacentral:rRNA from 1 species